UGCUGUAGCUUAGUGGUAGAGCACAUGAUUUGCAUGCAAAAUGCCAUGAAUUCAAUCCAAUGCAUGUGUUUAUAGAACAUGAGACUCUUAAUCUCUGGGUUGUGGGUCUGAGCCCCACACUGGGCAA